UACAGAGGGGGCAAGCGUUGUUCGGAAUUACUGGGCGUAAAGGGCGCGUAGGCGGCCUUCUAAGUCGAACGUGAAAUCCCCGGGCUCAACCCGGGAACUGCGUCCGAUACUGGAAGGCUUGAAUCCGGGAGAGGGAUGUGGAAUUCCAGGUGUAGCGGUGAAAUGCGUAGAUAUCUGGAGGAAUACCGGUGGCGAAGGCGGCAUCCUGGACCGACAUUGACGCUGAGACGGCGAAAGCUAGGGUAGCAAACGGG
rnacentral:rRNA from 1 species